rnacentral:lncRNA from 1 species
CCCUGUCUCAAAAGAAAGAUAGGAAGGAAGGAAGGAAGGGAGGGAGGGAAGGAGGGAAGGAGGGGAGGGAAAGAAAGGAAGGAAGGAAGGAAGGAAGAAAGAAAGAAAGACAGACGGAAGGAAGGAAGGAAAGAAGGAAAGAAAGAAAGAUUGAUUUAUCCAGCAGGUAUUAAGUGCCUGCUGUGUGGGCUAGUUGAUGGGCAUAUAAAAGUAAUCCACAACUUUCACUCUAAACCCAUGGAUACAUUUGGAUUCUCUAAUGACUGUUUAAAAUUGUCUCUUAUUCCUUAGGCAGUCUCGACAAAAAGUGCCUGACAUCAACACAGAACUCUCCCAGAGUGAGCAAAUCAUUUGGGAUGACCCAACAGCGAGGGAGGAGAGAGCGAGGCUCGCCAGCAACUUGCAGUGGCCUAGCUGUCCCACACAGUAUUCUGAGCUUCAGGUUGACAUUGAAAAACCGGAAGAUUCUCCUUUUCAAGAGCCUUCAUAUGAUUCAGAAAUGGCCAAACAGGCUGUUUGUGAUCCUGGAAGUGUGUGUGUGACUGAAGCCUCUGAACACUCAAUCUCUGAAGAACCAGAAACUUCAACAGAAGACAGUCAGCUAAUCCCCACACCACAAGCCCCCAGCAUUGCUUUCCCCCUGGCCAACCCACCUGUGGCCAACCCACAUGUGACUCCACAACCUAUGGAGGAGGUUUGUUGAUCCUUGUGCGGUGAUAAUAGCAUGUGACUAUUGCUGUCAAUGCUGGAGUAGAAAUUUGUUGUUACCAAGAUUUAUCACUAGUGAAAACUGCAUUUCUUUGAUUUUAUUAUAGUUUAUAUGUUUAAUUCCUUAGAA